AAAAUGUUAGUAAAAAUUACAAGGCCUUGUCAUGACCUAAUUGCUAGCUAACACAUUUUG
rnacentral:tRNA from 2 species